rnacentral:rRNA from 1 species
AGCGAACGCUGGCGGCAGGCCUAACACAUGCAAGUCGAGCGCCGUAGCAAUACGGAGCGGCAGACGGGAGAGUAACACAUGGGAACGUGCCCUUUGGUUCGGAACAACCCAGGGAAACUUGGGCUAAUACCGGAUACGCCCUUACGGGGAAAGAUUUAUCGCCGAAGGAUCGGCCCGCGUCUGAUUAGCUAGUUGGUGGGGUAAUGGCCCACCAAGGCGACGAUCAGUAGCUGGUCUGAGAGGAUGAUCAGCCUCACUGGGACUGAGACACGGCCCAGACUCCUACGGGAGGCAGCCGUGGGGAAUAUUGGACAAUGGGCGCAAGCCUGAUCCAGCCAUGCCGCGUGGGUGAUGAAGGCCCUAGGGUUGUAAAGCCCUUUCGGCGGGGAAGAUAAUGACGGUACCCGCAGAAGAAGCCCCGGCUAACUUCGUGCCAGCCGCCGCCGUAAGAC